rnacentral:tRNA from 1 species
AAGGGUGAAGUAUAAAAUUUACAUCUCAGUUACAUUGAGAAGAUCCACAUGUGUAGGCUCCCUUA